AACGAACGCUGGCGGCAUGCCUAACACAUGCAAGUCGAACGAGGCCGUCGGGUCCUUUUGCGCACGGGUUGGUCACCGGACGGAAGCUUCACGUAUGGUGGGAAUAACUUCCCGCAGGGGAUGCUAAUACGGGACAAAUGCUUCUGCCCCAAGAUAUAUCGCCUCGGGAUGGGCACGCGUUAGAGUUGCUAGUUGGUAAGGUAAAAGCCUACCAAGGCGAUGAUACAUAGCUGGUCUGGGAGGAUGAUCAGCCGCACUGGGAGUGUGACACGGCCCAGACUCCUACGGGAGGAAGCAGUGGGGAAUAUUGGACAAUGGGCGAAAGCCUGAUCUAGCAAGGCCGUGUGAGUGAUGAAGGCCUUAGGGUUGUAAAGCUCUUUUAACCGGGAUGAUAAUGACAGUACCGGGAGAAUAAGCUCCGGCUAACUCCGUG
rnacentral:rRNA from 1 species